rnacentral:misc_RNA from 1 species
ACGAGCAAGUGGAAGGAUCUAAACCCAAAGUUUGUACUUCAGGUGUAUAGAGACUUUGCUGCAACGCAGGAUAUGUCCUUUGGAGUUGAUGUCUGGCCUGCAGUUCGUACUGCCAUGGAAUACAUGGAACAAUUUGAUAGGGAUGAUGAUGCUCUGAUUGAAAAUGAUGGAUUCCCAGAUCAAACAUAUGAUACCUGGACAGUUCAUGGAGUAAGUGCUUACUGUGGCUGUUUAUGGCUUGCAGCACUUCAAGCUGCUGCAGCAAUGGCCCUUCAAGUAGGUGACAAGUAUUUUGCUGAAUUAUGCAAAAGCAAAUU